GGCCGAGGCUGAGCUGAGGAGCCUCCAAACCUGUAGACAGGGUCAUGCAGUACUAGGGGCGAGCCUCAUCCCCUGCAGCCCUGGCC
ensembl:miRNA MIR4478 microRNA 4478